UCCCAUAAACCGUGGCUCAGUUCAGAUCGUAGGCUGCAACUCGCCUACGUGAAGUAGGAAUCGCUAGUAAUCGCAGGUCAGCAUACUGCGGUGAAUACGUUCCCGGGCCUUGUACACACCGCCCGUCACACCAUGGAAGUUGGCCACGCCCGAAGUCGUUACUUUAACCCUUGUGGAGAAGGACGCCGAAGGUGGGGCUGAUGACUGGGGUGAAGUCGUAACAAGGUAGCCGUACCGGAAGGUGCGGCUGGAUCACCUCCUAA
rnacentral:rRNA from 1 species